GGACGUGCUGUCGCUGAAGGAUGUCUGAGCUGAAGGAUGUCCGAGCUGAAGGAUGUCCGAGCGGAGACACCGGAGCGUCCUGUCAACAGCAGAUAAACACUACUUCACCUAAGAGACUUGAGUAUCCAGUUCUUCAUUGACCUUCAGCAUUCAGUUGUUUGUCUUCACCUUUUCAGGUAAGCAAUUUUAAAAAAAUGCUUUUGUAAUGUUGAGAAACACUGAAAUUAUUAUUCAUAAAGAACUUUCAACCACUGUUCUGUGAUGUCAUGUAUAGUGAUAUACAAAUAUAUCUGAAGGAACGGUGUAUUUGGGAUAAUCAAUAUUAUUAGUAUUAUUCAUGUAUUUAUUCAUUUUUAAAUCAGAAUGGGGGAAAAUAGAUUAUUAGUACAAAACCUAGUAACUAGUAAAAAAAAAUUGGUAACAAUAAUGUUCAUUCAUUAAUUGACGCUUGGUCAAACUCUCAUCUAAUUAAGUAUUGCUGUCUCAUUAAUGUAUUAAUGUAUUUAUUUAUUUUGUAGGCUAAAACCUGAGAAGCCAUCACCAUGUUGUUGUUUCACAUCAGAAUAAGUAUUUCACAUGAUGCAGAUUUUUCAGCAUGUGGUCCUCAAUAUAUAGUAUAGAAGUCACUGUAUUUUCUGACUUUUCCAGGUUUCCUGUGUCCAGCAUCUUCAAGACAGACUAAGCUAACUUUUCAUAUUUUUUGCACAUUUAUAUUUAGGUUAGGUUAGGAGUAGGUUAGGUUUAUAGUAGAGUAUUUAGUUUGUAUAGUUUAGCUUUUUAUGCUGGUCUAGGGACAGUUAAGUUAGCAAAUUAAUUUAGUUCAAAUCACUUACAGUUGCAUAUUAUUGUUACAAUUGUGUUAUUUUGUGAGUUAUUGUUGUACAGGCUAUUGUAUAUUGCAGGACCAAGUGAGACGAGGAAGACCGCUGCUUCCAAGAUGCCGCGCUCAGAAAGUGCGUUGGACAAGUCUCGACCUUGCAGAUCCUGCCCAACUUAGCCCAACCACUUCCGACCAUGGGGUACCUCAAAGACCUCCGUCAACCAGCCGGCUGUGGAUGAUGGAUAACGCACCCACAACUCCUUCUCCAGUCUACAAGGUUCUGAAAAUACAGACACCCCCACAGUCCAAGAACAGCUGGAUGACCUCUGGACCCACUUGCCCCCUGUUCACCAGUUGAAAAGAUAGGCUUUUUAAAAAAUUCUUCAAUUGGUAAUUCUGCACAAAGUGAUACACAAAACAUUGUAUGUCUUCCAUUUCAACAAACACAAACAUGAAAUGUAUAUUUAUAAAUACAUAACUUAAUGAGAAUCAAUCAUACUAAACAUCAUCUUUUUUUUUAAACCAACCAUUGCACGCACUUCCAUCCAAGGAGAGGUUGCAUCUUGAUGGUAACUUUUUAGAUUAACAAAACUUUUGUGAGAUUUGUAAUUGUUGUUUCUGGGGAGGGGGCGGAGAGGGUAAGUCUAAACAUUGCAUGCAAGAGACCAACACCGGUGUCUCAGGGGAAAGCUAUCUGUAUACACAAGUAUCAAUCUACUUUGUUGCUUCAAAAUUUUACGAUAGUUUUGCAAUUCCUGACCCAGAGAGAAGCACAUCAAACAAACAAAAAAAGCAAUGGUAGAUUUUCAAGGCCUUUCAAUGACAUGAACAUUAUUUUCAAUGACAUUCAUUUUGCAAUUAACAUUAGUUUUAUCUUCUAAAACAUAACUAUAAUGACAUUCAAAUGUAGAUUACCACAAACACAAUAAUAAACUUCAAGUCUCAUUGGAUAAAAUAAAAAAUUAUUGACAGUCCUGAAAUGAUUGGUUAAACAUCCUUAAUAAGCCUACAUUAAUAAUAUAUUAAUUUCAGGUGAAAUAUUUAUUUUUUACUUUAAAUUCAAAUCUCAUUUAA